GGACUACUGGGGUUUCUAAUCCUGUUUGCUCCCCCAGCUUUCGUGCCUGAGCGUCAGGUGUCGUCCAGGGCGCUGCCUUCGCCGUCGGUGUUCCUCCGGAUCUCUACGCAUUUCACCGCUCCACCCGGAAUUCCACGCCCCUCUGCGACCCUCAAGCCUACCCGUCUGCAAGGCCCCCUCCCAGUUGAGCCGGGAGAUUUCACCCCACACGCGGCAGGCCGCCUGCGCACCCUUUACGCCCAGUAACUCCGGACAACGCUCGUCUCCUACGUAUUACCGCGGCUGCUGGCAC
rnacentral:rRNA from 1 species